GUGAAUCAUCGAAUUUUUGAACGCAAAUUGCACUCUCCGGGGAGAGGAUGACUGUGUGAGGGUCAGCAUAUAAAAAAUCGACAUCGUUGCUGUUGCGCGGUGUCGUUCGUCGGAAAUAGGGACAACGUAUAUCUAUAGGUGUUAAGCGACUUAAAAUUUUCUGUUUGGUUCCAUGAACGUUUCUGAGAUUUAUUUCUUUAUACGUUUAAGGUAUCGAUGUCUAGUAGACGUGACAAUCAUAUCGUAUCGCGCCAAUAAUCUUACAUUAACUGACCUCUG
rnacentral:misc_RNA from 1 species